rnacentral:rRNA from 1 species
AACGUAUCCUUGAGUGGGGGACAACUAGUCGAAAGACUAGCUAAUACCGCAUACGCUCGGAAGAGGAAAGUGGGGGACCGCAAGGCCUCACGCUGAAGGAGCGGCCGAUAUCAGAUUAGCUAGAUGGUGAGGUAAAGGCUCACCAUGGCGACGAUCUGUAGCUGGUCUGAGAGGAUGAUCAGCCACACUGGGACUGAGACACGGCCCAGACUCCUACGGGAGGCAGCAGUGGGGAAUUUUGGACAAUGGGGGCAACCCUGAUCCAGCCAUUCCGCGUGAGU